GCAGGUCCAUAGUGCCCAGAGAUGUGGUCCCACCUCAUCCUGGAUAUCUCCAGAAAGUGUUUGUGGAUGAGACUGACAUUUAGACCAGCAGAUGGGUGGGCCUCGCCUGAUCAGUUGAGGGCCUUUGGAGAACUAAAGACUGGCUCCCAAAAGCAAGAGGGGGUGCUGCAGGACGGCUUCCAUCUUGACCUGCAGCCUGGGCUCCUUGCUGGCUCUCCAGGCCCCCAGCCUGUGGCAUUGGGUAACCAGUCUCCAGAACCACGUGGGCCACUUCCUCAAGGUAAACCUCUCUGUGUACAGUCAUCCCCUGGGUCCUGCUCUUGGCAGAACCUGAACGCAGAGCUCAAGAUGCAAGGAAAUGGAUGAGCGAGCGAGCAAACUGACUGAGGUGGCAAGGCCUGGCGGAGGGAGGCCCUUCCCAGGGAACGUACCACCUCCUCUUGCCAGGGAGGGCUGCCCAGCCGCUGAGCCCCUGGUCGUGGGCCCCAGGGGACACCUGCCUCUUCUCCCGGGCAAGGGCUUGGGCUUCUGGGGGCAGGUCUUGCUGCUCUGCUCCUCCUUGGAAGGAAGCAGCGGUGGGAAGCCAAGCUCAGGGUCAGCAGGUGGAGAACACCCGGCGCUGGACGUCACCUCCAGAGCCCGCAUUGUCCCCGUCCUAGGUGGGAGGACCGCACCUCCUCCCUCGGGGCACGGGGAGGGCUUGCAGAGCACCUGACAGACAUCGGGCUCCCCGUGGUGGCUGCUGCUCUGGGACAGAGG
rnacentral:lncRNA from 1 species